UGACUACAAGCAGACUUGCUCAGUAGCAUCAUGUGUGCAGACGGAGACUGGUGUACUUAAAGGAGACACCCUGACAUUUUAGUUGAGGUCCUCACUGAGAAGACUGCUGAGAAAUUACUGGGAUUUAAGAAAAAGAUCACUCCAACUUGUGAAACAUCGUUAUCGGGCUGUCUU